ensembl:lncRNA
CGGAGAACUGCGGGUGAAGCCAUGCAGGGGAGUGUUUAGGAUCGUCUACGCAGGAGCGCUGACAAAAUUGUUGAAAUAUCCACGGAUUUUCUUAUCCCCGCAUAAAACAGCAAUACUAGAGUGGGGUUAUGGUUGUCAAAAGAUUGAAGAAGCACGAGAGAAGAUACCGGACCUAAUGAGCAUCAGCCUGGGGGAACUUAUACAGAGGAAAGAGAGAAGAUGGACCAAUUGGAUGCUGGCGAUGGUAAGUUAUCUAGGUCACCAUGACUCUCUUAACUCCCUCAAAAUGACAGGUAUGUUCUUCUUUACAUCUUGCAUUGGUUACAGCAAAAGUUUAUGCUUGAUUGUUGUGUACAAAUUCUUUC